GCCAAGAGAAUAAAACCACAAACCUGCAUAAACCAUAAAAGAGUAGUUCAGAUAAAGAAGCAAGUCACCCAAUGUAAGUCAAUUCAGUUAUCCACAGUUGGAUCAAAAGAUUGGAAGCAAAUGGAUUAGAGAGUAAACUUGUGGCAAAUCCCACGUGGUUUAAUGACUUAAAACUCACCUUCACUUAAAUGCCAGCUGGACGAAUCAGAUUGAGCCACUUAGACUCAAUUCUCCAAAUUGCUCUCUUGGAUCAAGCUAUAUAAGAGGCAAUCAUUGCCAAUCAUUGGGUUCAGAUAUUUUUUCCCUCAUUCGAAAAGCAUUGUGCAAUCACUUCCCACCUUCAGUACACGCUCUUUUUUCCAUUGUUGUGAGAGCUUCAUCACUCGAAGCUCUACACAGCAGAGCUAAGCCGCCGCCACCGCCGGAAGCUUCAAAGCUUGAAGAUCGUUAUCGCUCACACGCUUCCAAUCCGUUUCAACAUUACGAGAGGAGGAAGAGAGGCGCUCAGAAGUGGAUAGGAGUUGUGCUCGUGACCUUCGUCAUCAUCGUCGCCACCUCCGUCGUCGUCUUCGACAGGUAGUGCUUAAUCCAUAUACUUACACUUUGAUUCAUUUGCCACGAUGAUGCAUUGGAGUGUAGAUGAUGUUAUUUGUCACCGUUGCGUAAUCGUUUGUGAAGUUCUGGUAGAAUCUCCAUAUGAGAACUGAGAGCAUUUCUGCUUGUGAAUAAGCGCGUUUGGAUAAGCGCUUUUUCUGUUUAUUUGUCAUUUUUGUUAUUUGCUUUCAAUGGAUACAGUGUAGUGAAUUGGUUAUGGACCAAGCAACGCUGCAAGGCACUUCACUAUCCACACCCCCUGCUGCUUGGCCCACGCUACCUCUGUCCGUUCCGGUUUGUUGUUUGUGUUUUGUCAUCUUUAGUAAUUAGGAUUAGGCUUAGGCUUAAAUAAUUUUAGGAUUAAUUAGAUGAUUUAGGAUUAGUUUAAUAUACUAAUUAGGAUAAGCUUAAAACAAUUUUAGAGUAAUUAGAUUAAUCUUAGGAUAGUUUAGAUUAAUUUUUGAAUUGAUUAGAAUUUUAAAGUGAUUUAAAUUUGUUUUAGAAUGAGUUGAUUAAUUGUGUGGAAAUUUGUUUGGUAACAUUUUUAGAAUUGCUUUGUAAUUGUUUAGAUUUAUUUUAAUAAUUGGAACUUGUGUGAUUUGUUGGAUUUUCAUUGGUUGAUAAUUGUGGAGAUUUUAUUUUGUUAACAUUUUAGAAUUUGAUAGUUGGAUUUAAUUCUCUUAUGUUGAUUAACUUUGAUUAACUUUCUAACAAUUAAUUCUAACAUUUAAUUUCUGCCUUCUAACAUCUAAUUCUUUACCAUUCCGCUUCUAACCCUUAAUUUCCGCAUUUUAAAUUCUUGUAUCUAACUCCUAACAUUUAUUUUUGUCAAAUUUACUUUACAAUUGAUUUUAUUUGCUUCAUAUUCCAUAUUGUAUCAUUCUCACUCCAUCUAAAAUGAACAUAAAAAAGGAUAAGACUUAAAAAAUAAAACAAGAUAAUUCCUUAGCAUGUAAUGAACUUUGGACAAUGGACUUAGAGACUCAUUAGGACCCUUUGCAAAAGAGACUUUGGACAAAUGUGACAUAACAUGAAAGAAGCGUGCAAGAAUCAAGAAGAAUUUGUAAUAUCAAUUGUAAUCUUUUAGCAUGCUCUCCAAUUUAGAACACAAUUGCACACACAUGGCUUUCUCUUGGGCUACCUGACAAUGAGACCUUUUAUUUCCGCACUCCCUUGUACUUUACAUGUACCCCCUCCCCUUUCCGAUGUACGCAUUUACUCGCUUUCUUGUAUUGCUUGAUUAGAUACUCCCUAGGCAUUAGGAACGCACACCAUUUCGCAAUCAAUAAUCAAACCCUUGAUCCAACGUCAAGUGGUCCCUUUUCAAGUCAAAAAACAAUAAACAAACCCUUGAUCCAACGUCAAGUGGUCCCUUUUCAAGUCAAAAAACAAUAAACAAACCCUUGAUCCAACGUCAAGCGGUCUUUUCUAAAUCAAAUUUAAAAAUACAAUAAAUGGCGAUUAGGAUCGUAUGUCACGAGCCUUAAGCGAUAAAGAAGGGAUGAGACUGGAGCUUUCCUACACUCAUUCUGAAUGCUUCGAACACAAGACGUUUGGCUUGACCGUGGGUGAGGUAUUCACCUUUAUCCAUAAUCUUUAGUGCAAUUCGAAAUCAAUAACACUUUCUCAAACUUAAAAACAAUCCAACGCAUUCAAACAUUUUGUUUGAGCCUU
rnacentral:lncRNA from 1 species